rnacentral:rRNA from 1 species
GCUGCGGCUCAACCAUAGUUCGCUUUGGAAACUGUCAAACUUGAGUGCAGAAGGGGAGAGUGGAAUUCCAUGUGUAGCGGUGAAAUGCGUAGAUAUAUGGAGGAACACCGGUGGCGAAAGCGGCUCUCUGGUCUGUAACUGACGCUGAGGCUCGAAAGCGUGGGGAGCGAACAGGAUUAGAUACCCUGGUAGUCCACGCCGUAAACGAUGAGUGCUAGGUGUUGGAUCCUUUCCGGGAUUCAGUGCCGCAGCUAACGCAUUAAGCACUCCGCCUGGGGAGUACGACCGCAAGGUUGAAACUCAAAGGAAUUGACGGGGGCCCGCACAAGCGGUGGAGCAUGUGGUUUAAUUCGAAGCAACGCGAAGAACCUUACCAGGUCUUGACAUCCCGAUGCUAUUUCUAGAGAUAGAAAGUUACUUCGGUACAUCGGUGACAGGUGGUGCAUGGUUGUCGUCAGCUCGUGUCGUGAGAUGUUGGGUUNNNNNNNNNAACGAGCGCAACCCCUAUUGUUAGUUGCCAUCAUUCAGUUGGGCACUCUAGCGAGACUGCCGGUAAUAAACCGGAGGAAGGUGGGGAUGACGUCAAAUCAUCAUGCCCCUUAUGACCUGGGCUACACACGUGCUACAAUGGUUGGUACAACGAGUUGCGAGUCGGUGACGGCAAGCUAAUCUCUUAAAGCCAAUCUCAGUUCGGAUUGUAGGCUGCAACU